ACUAAGCGUACACGGUGGAUGCCCUGGCAGUCAGAGGCGAUGAAGGACGUGCUAAUCUGCGAUAAGCGUCGGUAAGGUGAUAUGAACCGUUAUAACCGGCGAUUUCCGAAUGGGGAAACCCAGUGUGAUUCGUCACACUAUCAUUAACUGAAUCCAUAGGUUAAUGAGGCGAACCGGGGAACUGAAACAUCUAAGUACCCCGAGGAAAAGAAAUCAACCGAGAUUCCCCAGUAGCGGCGAGCGAACGGGGAGCAGCCCAGAGCCUGAAUCAGUGUGUGUGUUAGUGGAAGCGUCUGGAAAGGCGUGCGAUACAGGGUGACAGCCCCGUACACAAAAAUGCACAUACUGUGAGCUCGAUGAGUAGGGCGGGACACGUGGUAUCCUGUCUGAAUAUGGGGGACCAUCCUCCAAGGCUAAAUACUCCUGACUGACCGAUAGUGAACCAGUACCGUGAGGGAAAGGCGAAAAGAACCCCGGCGAGGGGAGUGAAAAAGAACCUGAAACCGUGUACGUACAAGCAGUGGGAGCACGCUUAGGCGUGUGACUGCGUACCUUUUGUAUAAUGGGUCAGCGACUUAUAUUCUGUAGCAAGGUUAACCGAAUAGGGGAGCCGAAGGGAAACCGAGUCUUAACUGGGCGUUAAGUUGCAGGGUAUAGACCCGAAACCCGGUGAUCUAGCCAUGGGCAGGUUGAAGGUUGGGUAACACUAACUGGAGGACCGAACCGACUAAUGUUGAAAAAUUAGCGGAUGACUUGUGGCUGGGGGUGAAAGGCCAAUCAAACCGGGAGAUAGCUGGUUCUCCCCGAAAGCUAUUUAGGUAGCGCCUCGUGAAUUCAUCUCCGGGGUAGAGCACUGUUUCGGCAAGGGGUCAUCCCGACUUACCAACCCGAUGCAAACUGCGAAUACCGGAGAAUGUUAUCACGGGAGACACACGGCGGGUGCUAACGUCCGUCGUGAAGAGGGAAACAACCCAGACCGCCAGCUAAGGUCCCAAAGUCAUGGUUAAGUGGGAAACGAUGUGGGAAGGCCCAGACAGCCAGGAUGUUGGCUUAGAAGCAGCCAUCAUUUAAAGAAAGCGUAAUAGCUCACUGGUCGAGUCGGCCUGCGCGGAAGAUGUAACGGGGCUAAACCAUGCACCGAAGCUGCGGCAGCGACGCUUAUGCGUUGUUGGGUAGGGGAGCGUUCUGUAAGCCUGUGAAGGUGUGCUGUGAGGUAUGCUGGAGGUAUCAGAAGUGCGAAUGCUGACAUAAGUAACGAUAAAGCGGGUGAAAAGCCCGCUCGCCGGAAGACCAAGGGUUCCUGUCCAACGUUAAUCGGGGCAGGGUGAGUCGACCCCUAAGGCGAGGCCGAAAGGCGUAGUCGAUGGGAAACAGGUUAAUAUUCCUGUACUUGGUGUUACUGCGAAGGGGGGACGGAGAAGGCUAUGUUGGCCGGGCGACGGUUGUCCCGGUUUAAGCGUGUAGGCUGGUUUUCCAGGCAAAUCCGGAAAAUCAAGGCCGAGGCGUGAUGACGAGGCACUACGGUGCUGAAGCAACAAAUGCCCUGCUUCCAGGAAAAGCCUCUAAGCAUCAGGUAACAUCAAAUCGUACCCCAAACCGACACAGGUGGUCAGGUAGAGAAUACCAAGGCGCUUGAGAGAACUCGGGUGAAGGAACUAGGCAAAAUGGUGCCGUAACUUCGGGAGAAGGCACGCUGAUACGUAGGUGAAGCGACUUGCUCGUGGAGCUGAAAUCAGUCGAAGAUACCAGCUGGCUGCAACUGUUUAUUAAAAACACAGCACUGUGCAAACACGAAAGUGGACGUAUACGGUGUGACGCCUGCCCGGUGCCGGAAGGUUAAUUGAUGGGGUUAGCGCAAGCGAAGCUCUUGAUCGAAGCCCCGGUAAACGGCGGCCGUAACUAUAACGGUCCUAAGGUAGCGAAAUUCCUUGUCGGGUAAGUUCCGACCUGCACGAAUGGCGUAAUGAUGGCCAGGCUGUCUCCACCCGAGACUCAGUGAAAUUGAACUCGCUGUGAAGAUGCAGUGUACCCGCGGCAAGACGGAAAGACCCCGUGAACCUUUACUAUAGCUUGACACUGAACAUUGAGCCUUGAUGUGUAGGAUAGGUGGGAGGCUUUGAAGUGUGGACGCCAGUCUGCAUGGAGCCGACCUUGAAAUACCACCCUUUAAUGUUUGAUGUUCUAACGUGGACCCGUGAUCCGGGUUGCGGACAGUGUCUGGUGGGUAGUUUGACUGGGGCGGUCUCCUCCUAAAGAGUAACGGAGGAGCACGAAGGUUGGCUAAUCCUGGUCGGACAUCAGGAGGUUAGUGCAAUGGCAUAAGCCAGCUUGACUGCGAGCGUGACGGCGCGAGCAGGUGCGAAAGCAGGUCAUAGUGAUCCGGUGGUUCUGAAUGGAAGGGCCAUCGCUCAACGGAUAAAAGGUACUCCGGGGAUAACAGGCUGAUACCGCCCAAGAGUUCAUAUCGACGGCGGUGUUUGGCACCUCGAUGUCGGCUCAUCACAUCCUGGGGCUGAAGUAGGUCCCAAGGGUAUGGCUGUUCGCCAUUUAAAGUGGUACGCGAGCUGGGUUUAGAACGUCGUGAGACAGUUCGGUCCCUAUCUGCCGUGGGCGCUGGAGAACUGAGGGGGGCUGCUCCUAGUACGAGAGGACCGGAGUGGACGCAUCACUGGUGUUCGGGUUGUCAUGCCAAUGGCACUGCCCGGUAGCUAAAUGCGGAAGAGAUAAGUGCUGAAAGCAUCUAAGCACGAAACUUGCCCCGAGAUGAGUUCUCCCUGACCCUUUAAGGGUCCUGAAGGAACGUUGAAGACGACGACGUUGAUAGGCCGGGUGUGUAAGCGCAGCGAUGCGUUGAGCUAACCGGUACUAAUGAACCGUGAGGCUUAACC
rnacentral:rRNA from 1 species